rnacentral:rRNA from 1 species
GAGUUUGAUCUUGGCUCAGUAUGAACGCUGGCGGCGUGCCUAAUACAUGCAAGUCGAGCGAACGGACGAGAAGCUUGCUUCUCUGAUGUUAGCGGCGGACGGGUGAGUAACACGUGGGUAACCUACCUAUAAGACUGGGAUAACUCCGGGAAACCGGGGCUAAUACCGGAUAACACAUGAAACCGCAUGGUUUCGAUGAUGAAAGACGGUCUUGCUGUCACUUAUAGAUGGAUCC